rnacentral:rRNA from 1 species
UGCGUAGGCGGUUCUGAAAGUCUGAUGUGAAAUCUCCGGGCCCAACCCGGAAAUGGCAUUAGAAACUACAGGGCUAGAGGCUUGGAGGGGGAACUGGAAUUCUCGGUGUAGCAGUGAAAUGCGUAGAGAUCGAGAGGAACACCAGUGGCGAAGGCGAGUUCCUGGACAAGUCCUGACGCUGAGGCACGAAAGCCAGGGGAGCAAACA